GAGGGGACACUCGGCAAAAACUGGCAACAGGAAACACGUCACCAUACGUCACGCCAUACUUUUGACACCGAACGUUAGCUGCCGCGAGCAUCGAAAAAAAAAGAAAGUGAACUUAAGUUAACAGGCAUUGAUUUAUUUUUUUAAUUCUUUGCCGCGAAAACUAAAACGUUUUGCGUAUAAAUGAACUUAAGCUUUGCGACUUAUUUUCCUUGCCUUACCUAGCCGCAGGUCAAUGACGCGCCAGAUACAUGCGUCAUCCGCCAGACACUCCCCCGAAGCCAGCGAGGAUGGCUGCGCGCGCGUUUGAGCGCUCGCGCGCGGCGACCCGUCUGUCUCCUUCUUUUUUUCUUUUUUAAAUGUAACCUGGUUUAUUGGGCUCCCGGCGUAUUCUUGCGUUCCUUCUGCACUGGGACAAGACACCACUGCACUAUUGGACUACGGCAAGCUGGUGCCGUCCGGUGGAGCUUCAUACAGGAACUACUGCCUUACCUGCUGGUGUCACAACGUUGGAUGAACGCACAAAAUGCGCGGAACGAGCUUUUAUAUAGAGCAAAAUAAAUAUUUCCUCAUUGCACAAAA